rnacentral:tRNA from 295 species
GCGGAAGUGGCGGAAUUGGUAGACGCACCAGAUUUAGGUUCUGGCGCCGCAAGGUGUGAGAGUUCAAGUCUCUCCUUCCGCACCA